GACGAACGCUGGCGGCGUGCUUAACACAUGCAAGUCGAACGGAAAGGCCCUGCUUUUGUGGGGUGCUCGAGUGGCGAACGGGCGAGUAACACGUGAGUAACCUGCCCUUGACUUUGGGAUAACUUCAGGAAACUGGGGCUAAUACCUGAUAGGAGCUCCUGCUGCAUGGUGGGGGUUGGAAAGUUUCGGCGGUUGGGGAUGGACUCGCGGCUUAUCAGCUUGUUGGUGGGGUAGUGGCUUACCAAGGCUUUGACGGGUAGCCGGCCUGAGAGGGUGACCGGCCACAUUGGGACUGAGAUACGGCCCAGACUCCUGCGGGAGGCAGCAGUGGGGAAUAUUGCACAAUGGGCGGCAGCCUGAUGCAGCAACGCCGCGUGCGGGAUGACGGCCUUCGGGUUGUAAACCGCUUUCGCCUGUGACGAAGCGUGAGUGACGGUAAUGGGUAAAGAAGCACCGGCUAACUACGUG
rnacentral:rRNA from 1 species